rnacentral:pre_miRNA from 1 species
AUCAUACUCCCUCCGUCCCAAAAUAAGUGACGUGGAUUUGUACCAAAAAGUAGCACCGGAUUCAAUUCCCGAAAACCGGAAAUCAGUUCCUUCCUCACUCAAGAAGGGCAAGAAUCUAUACAAUUCCAUGUCACUUAUUUUGGGACGGAGGGAGUACUAU